rnacentral:rRNA from 1 species
UUGAGCGUAUCUUGCUGAAUACAUCGGAUCUCAUUUGAUUUCCAAAGUGAAUCAACUGUGAGCUACCUAAUACUUGGAUGGGAGAGCUCCUGGGAAACGUUAGUGGAGCAAAAU